rnacentral:misc_RNA from 13 species
AAGGAGGUAAAAAUGGUA